AUCCUAGAAAUCGUGGGCUAUGAUUUCAAACAUAAAACUGUGAACCAUAGCAUUGAAUUUAUAAACUCAAAACAUGGGACUCACGCUCAACAAAUUGAGAGUACCUAGGCAUCUUUAAAGCGUGGAAACAAACGCCGGUGUGGGACACACCGUUCCAUGGUUGACUUGUAACUUUGUAAAUUU